AACCUCUCAAGGUAGCACCUGGAGAGUUUCCAGUACUCUACCAGUCUCUACUACAGGAGGGAGAGUCAAGCAGAUGCAUACCCAAUUCAUUCCUAGCUUGGCCAGUGGCUAGUGAGUGGAAGGCAAUCUGCUACAAGU